rnacentral:rRNA from 1 species
GUGAGGAAUCUUCCACAAUGGGCGAAAGCCUGAUGGAGCAACGCCGCGUGAAGGAUGAAGGUCUUCGGAUUGUAAACUUCUUUUAUGAGUGAAGAAUAUGACGGUAACUCAUGAAUAAGCACCGGCUAACUACGUGCCAGCAGCCGCGGUCAUACGUAGGGUGCAAGCAUUAUCCGGAGUGACUGGGCGUAAAGAGUUGCGUAGGCGGUUAUGUAAGCGAAUAGUGAAACCUGGUGGCUCAACCACACAGACUAUUAUUCGAACUGCAUAACUCGAGAAUGGUAGAGGUAACUGGAAUUUCUUGUGUAGGAGUGAAAUCCGUAGAUAUAAGAAGGAAUACCAAUGGCGUAGGCAGGUUACUGGGCCAUUUCUGACGCUAAGGCACGAAAGCGUGGGGAGCGAACCGGAUUAGAAACCCGUGUAGUCC